ACAUGCAAGUCGAACGAGAAAGUGGAGCAAUCCAUGAGUACAGUGGCGUACGGGUGAGUAACACGUGGGUAAUCUACCUCUUAGUGGGGAAUAACUUUGGGAAACCGAAGCUAAUACCGCAUAAGCUCGAGAGAGGAAAGCAGCAAUGCGCUGAGAGAGGAGCCCGCGGCCGAUUAGCUAGUUGGGAGGGUAAAAGCCUACCAAGGCAAAGAUCGGUAGCCGGCCUGAGAGGGCACACGGCCACACUGGCACUGAAACACGGGCCAGACUCCUACGGGAGGCAGCAGUGGGGAAUCUUGCACAAUGGGGGCAACCCUGAUGCAGCGACGCCGCGUGAGCGAUGAAGCCCUUCGGGGUGUAAAGCUCUUUCGUCAGGGAAGAUAGUGACGGUACCUGGAGAAGCAGCUGCGGCUAACUACGUGCCAGCAGCCGCGGUAAUACGUAGGCAGCGAGCGUCGUUCGGAGUUACUGGGCGUAAAGGGUGUGUAGGCGGUUGUUUAACUUUGGUGUGAAAUCUC
rnacentral:rRNA from 1 species